rnacentral:rRNA from 1 species
CCUACGGGUGGCAGCAGUGAGGAAUAUUGGUCAAUGGACGAGAGUCUGAACCAGCCAAGUAGCGUGAAGGAUGACUGCCCUAUGGGUUGUAAACUUCUUUUAUAUGGGAAUAAAAUGUUCCACGUGUGGGAUUUUGUAUGUACCAUAUGAAUAAGGAUCGGCUAACACCGUGCCAGCAGCCGCGGUAAUAAGGAGGAUCCGAGCGUUAACCGGAUUUAUUGGGUUUAAAGGGAGCGUAGGUGGAUUGUUAAGUCAGUUGUGAAAGUUUGCGGCUCAACCGUAAAAUUGCAGUUGAAACUGGCAGUCUUGAGUACAGUAGAGGUGGGCGGAAUUCGUGGUGUAGCGGUGAAAUGCUUAGAUAUCACGAAGAACUCCGAUUGCGAAGGCAGUUCACUGGACUGCAACUGACACUGAGGCUCGAAAGUGUGGGUAUCAAACAGGAUUAGAUACCCCAGUAGUC